CUCAGAACCCCUGGCUCCAUUCCCUGGAGGCACACAGGGACAGUCACCUUCCUGGUUGCUGUGUGGCUUGCAUGCCCAUGGAUGGGCACAUGAGUGUAUCCAUGUACACUUGUGCACCUAUGUUUUGGGGUGCGUGUGGGUGUGAGUGUACAUGAGUCUGUGUGAAUGCACGCAUGUCAGUACAUGUAUAUGUGUGUGUGCUCACGUGAGUACACAUGAAAGCAUUCGCACAAGCUCAGCCCUUUGCAGCCUCACUCCUGAGCCCCAGGACUGUGGAGAGAACCACCCAGAUAUCUUCAGAGCUGCCCUGUGCCUCUGAAAUGCUGGGGGCCAGGGGAAGCCCAGUGGGGUUGAGGGAGCACAUUUUAUAGCAUUCAGAGCACUCUUAACCAGAUUCUACAGAGACGCCAGUUUCCUUUGCAUGCACCUAUCCACGUGCCAAUUAUUCGCCAUGGAGAACGUGGAAAAUGCGAAGUUAGAAGAUCCUGCCCCACCAGCAGGAGUGUGGCUGAUGCUUCUGACACCCCCGGAGCCUGUCACUGCGCAGAGCACCGCGAAUGUGACGAACCGAACGCCUGCUCUGGCACAAACCAAGUCCCCGCUGGUCCCCCUCACAGGCCCUGGGGGAAGCUGCCCACGUGCAAAGGAGGCUUGAGGACCCCCCAGGACCGCAGGCCCAGCAGGCCCACUCGAGGGGGUGCCGGAGCCCCUCAUUAAGAGACUUCAACAGGAAGAGGGUGGAGGAAGCAGCACGGAGGUCAGGAGGCUGCGGCUCCCUGGGGCUCUUCUACAGUGAGACUAGGAGCGGGGAGAAGAAAUGAAGGAGAAAGCAGGCUGGAAGUAGGGUGGGAGAGGAGGAGAGGGCAGAGGGAAGACGAACAGAAAGAAAGGCAACUUUGAAAGGCAGUGAAGUGGAGAAAAAAGCUGGGCAUGGUGCUGCACACCUGUAAUCCCAGCGCUUGGGAGGCUGGGCAGGAGGACUGCCCAAGUUUGAGGCCAGCCCGGUCUGUAAGACCCCAUCUGGAAUAAAUAUACU